ensembl:lncRNA
GUCACACACAGACAUGCUUCCCCCAUUCUCUGAUAACACCAUAUCAAAUCACUAACAAACACGUCUCCAGUCUUCAAAAUAAUUUAGUUAUUAGAAAAGUGAUUGGACAAACCGGUAAAGAUUUUUUUUUUCCCACCAACAAAAAGCAAAUCAGAACAGAGUUAGUCUUUUUCUCCAGUUUACCCAGCCUUCAGAGCUCCAACUGCAGUCCCAUCAUAAUCAUUUUAGACUCCAAAGCAGUGACAGCAUUGGAUGCAUAAUUUUCAACACAUGUUUUAUUAAUCCAUUCUUCCUGUGCUUCAUUUAAAAUACUGGAAACUAUAAAAAGAUAAGCGUGUUACUCCUCUGCCAGGAAAAAGGGAAGAAAAAAAAAAAAAACUAACCAGAAAAUAUGAAAAAAAAAAAAAGAAAGAAAGAAAGAAACCAAAAAACCAGAGCAACUGGAAUCUCGGUCUUGAGGAAACACAUGGGAUUGAAGCAUCCGCUGGAGCUCUGUCACCGACUGUCAUCUGUGACUCUGGCGCUGAAGCCUCCAGGCCGGAGCGAGGAGGCUGUGCGUGCAAGCCGGGCUCCAUAGUCCACUGGUGAAAUUCUUCCAAAAGCUUGUUGGAACAAAUCCCGAACAGCGUCCGUCCACGGUGACUUAGAGAUGACCUCCACUCAGAGUUUUACGUCGGUCGUACCGAGCUCGCCUCUUCCUUGGGCCCACGUGUGGGCAGGCAGAUUCUACCUUCCGAGCCACCAGAAGUGAAGUGAAGUGAAGUCGCUCAGUCAUGUCUGACUCCUUGAGACCCCAUGGACUGUAGCCCACCAGGCUCCACCAUCCAUGGGAUUUUCCAGGCAAGAGUGCUGGAGUGGGUUGCCAUUUCCUUCUCCACUGAGCCACCAGGGCAGCCCCCAAAUACAAUAAAAAUGUCAUUAACUGCAGGGUGGUUGGCCUGUGUUCAUCUAUGUUGCUCACUCAUCUCUCAGGCUGUACUGUUAGCAUUUGAAAUCACCAUUUAAAAAAUAAAGUUAAAAGUGACCACAU